rnacentral:rRNA from 1 species
CGCACGGGUGAGUAACACGUGAGUGACCUGCCUUUUAGACUGGAACAACUUACCGAAAGGUGAGCUAAUGCCGGAUGAGUUAUAUAAGUGCAUGUUUAUAUAGGAAAAGUUGGGGAGACCUGACGCUGAAAGAUGGACUCGCGUCCCAUUAGCUAGUUGGUAGGGUAACGGCCUACCAAGGCGACGAUGGGUAGCCGGCCUGAGAGGGUGGCCGGCCACACUGGGACUGAGACACGGCCCAGACUCCUACGGGAGGCAGCAG